CCUCUGGACUGUUAUACCAAACGUAAGUAGCCAAUUAGCAGCACGGCAAAAACGGACAGGAUGAAAGAGGAA
rnacentral:sRNA from 12 species